rnacentral:rRNA from 1 species
UACGUAGGCAGCGAGCGUUGUUCGGAGUUACUGGGCGUAAAGGGUGUGUAGGCGGUCCUCUAAGUUUGGUGUGAAAUCUCCCGGCUCAACCGGGAGGGUGCGCCGAAAAACUGGGGGGGCUAGAGUGCGGGGAUGGGGUAAGUGGAAUUCCUGGUGUAGCGGUGAAAAUGCGUAGAUAUCAGGAAGAACACCUAUGGCGAAGGCAGCACUCUGGGGACGGUACUGACGCUGAGACGCGAAAAAGCGUGGGGGGAGCGAAACAGG